rnacentral:rRNA from 1 species
GCGAUCAUACCAGCACUAAUGCACCGGAUCCCAUCAGAACUCCGAAGUUAAUCGUGCUUGGGCGAGAGCAGUACUAGGAUGGGUGACCCCCUGGGAAGUCCUCGUGUUGCACCU